rnacentral:rRNA from 1 species
ACUGCGAAUGGCUCAUUAAAUCAGUUAUCGUUUAUUUGAUAGUACCUUACUACAUGGAUAUCUGUGGUAAUUCUAGAGCUAAUACAUGCUAAAAACCCCAACUUCGGGAGGGGUGUAUUUAUUAGAUAAAAAACCAAUGCCCUUCGGGGCUCCUUGGUGAUUCAUAAUAACUUCUCAGAUCGCAUGGCUUUACGCCGGCGACGGUUCAUUCAAAUUUCUGCCCUAUCAACUUUCGAUGGUAAGGUAGUGGCUUACCAUGGUCUCAACGGGUAACGGGGAAUUAGGGUUCGAUUCCGGAGAGGGGGCCUGAGAAAUGGCCACCACAUCCAAGGAAGGCAGCAGGCGCGCAAAUUACCCAAUUCCGAUACGGAGAGGUAGUGACAAUAAAUACUGAUACAGGGCUCUUUUGGGUCUUGUAAUUGGAAUGAGUACAAUUUAAACCUCUUAACGAGGAACAAUUGGAGGGCAAGUCUGGUGCCAGCAGCCGCGGUAAUUCCAGCUCCAAUAGCGUAUAUUAAAGUUGUUGCAGUUAAAAAGCUCGUAGUUGAACCUUUGGCCUGGCUGGCAGGUCCGCCUCACCGCGUGCACUUGUCCGGCCGGGCCUUUUCUUCUGGAGAACCGCAUGCCCUUCACUGGGUGUGUUGGGGACCAGGACUUUUACUUUGAAAAAAUUAGAGUGUUCAAAGCAGGCCUUUGCUCGAAUACGUUAGCAUGGAAUAAUAGAAUAGGACGUGCGGUCCUAUUUUGUUGGUUUCUAGGACCGCCGUAAUGAUUAAUAGGGACAGUCGGGGGCAUCAGUAUUCAAUUGUCAGAGGUGAAAUUCUUGGAUUUAUUGAAGACUAACUACUGCGAAAGCAUUUGCCAAGGAUGUUUUCAUUAAUCAGUGAACGAAAGUUAGGGGAUCGAAGACGAUCAGAUACCGUCGUAGUCUUAACCAUAAACUAUGCCGACUAGGGAUCGGGCGGUGU